rnacentral:tRNA from 1 species
GUCACGAUGCCAGAGUGGUUAAUGGGUUAGACUUGAAUUUGCAGUUGCAGAAUCGAUAUCUAAUGGCUUCGGCCGCGUAGGUUCAAGUCCUGCUCGUGACG